rnacentral:rRNA from 1 species
UCCUACGGGAGGCAGCAGUGGGGAAUAUUGGACAAUGGGGGGAACCCUGAUCCAGCCAUGCCGCGUGUGUGAAGAAGGCCUUAUGGUUGUAAAGCACUUUAAGCGAGGAGGAGGCUACUUUAGUUAAUACCUAGAGAUAGUGGACGUACUCGCAG